rnacentral:rRNA from 1 species
GCCUAUGACCAAAUCGCGCUGAAUGUGGCCAAGCUUGUAAGAUCUCGAAAGCUCAGCAGGUUUUGAGCCUGGUUAGCACUCGAAAGCGAAAUUACCUGGGAAUAGCAGGUGUUGUACGCU